rnacentral:ribozyme from 1 species
UGCCCAGCAACUCCUAUUCCUGCCUCCUCGGGGUACAAGUAACCUUAGGGAAGAUCGAACAGUGAGAACUUUGGUCGUAUGCUGACAGGGAAGG